rnacentral:rRNA from 1 species
AUUGAACGCUGGCGGCAGGCCUAACACAUGCAAGUCGAACGAGUGGCGGACGGGUGAGUAAUGUCUGGGACACUGCCCGAUGGAGGGGGAUAACUACUGGAAACGGUAGCUAAUACCGCAUACUCUCGGAUGUGCCCAGAUGGGAUUAGCUAGGAGGGGGGGUAACGGCACACCUAGGCGACGAUCCCUAGCCGGUCUGAGAGGAUGACCAGCCACACUGGAACUGAGGCACGGUCCAGACUCCUACGGGAGGCAGCAGUGGGGAAUAUUGCACAAUGGGCUCAAGCCUGAUGCAGCCAUGCCGCGUGUAUGAAGAAGGCCUUCGGGUUGUAAAGUACUUUCAGCGAGGAGGCGUUACUCGCAGAAGAAGCACCGGCUAACUCCGUGCCAGCCGCCGCGGUAAUUC